UCAAAGGCAUGCCAAACCUCCAUAAUUAUUUUUUCUCCAUUCCAAUUAAUCCCUUCCAUCAAUGUCCAAUAAAAAUUCUUCAGCCCCACUCCUCUUCCGUGUCCCAAGGAAAGGUUAUGAAAAUUUUGUUUUUCAAAAUCAAAAUUAUGUGGCUCUCUAAUAUGCACAAAUUUGUUUCACUCCCUAUUUCUUUCAUUUUACACGCUCAUCUGACCAGAACUCUCUCCACAACGUCCACUCCCGCCGAGCUCUACCACUGCAAGGAUCUUGCGUCCUCCUUCUUUGACCUAAAGACAGGGCAAAGCUACGACUCUUCAUUAUGAUUUUUGUUCCUUUGUUCAUGAUUGUCUGCGUUUUAGCUAAGUGUGUUUUUGCCAACAUGUCGGACACGAUGUUGUAACAUCUUAACUAUGACAUGUCUCCUUGCAGAUCUGAUAUGAGUUGGCUAAGUUAUCAUGUUUUUUGUUGAUUUAAUACUGUGUUGCACUUCUGCUGUACAUUGUACCAGAUGUCCUAGACAUUUGGUUCGACAUAUGUCCUGUGCGUGAACCAGAAUUUCUAUGAUGAAUGAAUUCGAAGAGAGGUUAAAGAGCUGGAAGAGGAAGGAGUGGGAAAUCCAAUUGAAAGAGAGCCCCAAGUUCGACGACGUCGUCGUCAUCAGCAACGUCCCCCAUUCUCAGGCGACUCUGCCACUACCAACGCUGAUGCCUUUUCAACCGUCGAGCUCCAAUCCCCCAACAUCUAUCGAAUCCCUCCCCCUCUGUUGUGUUUCAUUGGUGCAUCUGGGUUUCCAGAACAAGAGUAAGAGAAGAACACAAAUAUGAGAUUUUGGACCGAAGGAAACCCAGAGUUUCCAUGGGCUGAUUUCUGGGCUAGAAGACAUACCACAAUAAAGAAAUUAUUAACCCAGGAGAGAAGAAAUCUUGAGAUUUAAACAAGGUAAAAUAAAAGCUCUAUGAAAAGGAUUUUCAUGGAUUUUAUUGUUAUAUUGUUUAUCAGUGUUCUUCUUUAAUUGAUGCCUUUGUUUCUCACUUUAUUGGCUUGGUAUGCAUUGUUGUAGGUAUGAGAUUAUGUUGGAGCAUUUUCAAAAACAUAUUUUGUUCUCUAAUGUGCACUUUGUUUAAUGAACAGAUCUGUGUGUGUUAUUAUCCUGCCAUUUUUUGCUUUCUAUCUAAAUAUGGAUUUUUGGGUUGAGAUAUUUUAAGUCUUGGUUCGUAUCCUAAUUUUUUUUAUCAGAUUCAUAAUGUGCCCUGUUGUCAUGUUUAUUAGUUGUAUUGCACAUUCUAGAUUUUGAAGCUAAUCUAACUUGAGAAGAUCCCUCUCAAACAGUUCGCCAUUCUGAUUUCACCACCCUAUCUCUUCUUCGGAUUUUAUUGUGAGGCUAAGUUCUUAUCAGUCAUUAUCUUCUGCUCCGGUAAAAACCCUAAAGCUCUUGACUUGCUUUGUGCUAUGGUUUGUAAAAUCGUUAAUCUGCUUUCAGAAAAUGUUACUAUACAACAUACAAUAAGGUUUUUGUAGAGAGUGGAAUGGAGGAAAGUGCUGCCAUGAAUUUAUGAGUCGUAUAAUUAUCAAGAAUGGUUAUUUAUUUUUAAGUUACAGGGAAGAAAAAUAGGAACCACAUAGCAAUGUUGUUGGAUUUUUAUUUUGGUUUUGACAUUCAUAUUAAGCAUAUGCAUGAUGCCUCUGAAUUCUAACAUAGUGAUAAAGCUAAUGAAUGAAAGAUUAAAAGAAGUACAUGAUAGUAGCUUCUUGGUUUUAAUUGAAUAUGUUUUGUUUAUUUUUAUUUUCUCAAUUCCAAGGAUCAAGUCUCAAAUCUAAAUGCUCACCUAACAGUUGCAAGGUUUUGGAUCCUUUGAUUACGCAUGCUUGGUAGAAUGAGUAGGAAAAGGUGGUAAACUUAUCUUGGAGUCUUAAAUUGAUAUCACAGCCAGCCCUAUUUUUCAACAGUGUGAUUCUAUUGUAUCAUCUUAUCCAAACUAAAGACAUGUUCUCAGGAAUGAACAAAGCAGGAGCAACGAAGAAGAUAAAUGGGAGUGGAUAAGAGAAUUCUUACUUAACGUACAAGUUCAAGCUUUUUUGUCUCCUUCCAAGAUUAUAAGGAUGUUGGUUUUCCUACUAAUUGAUUAUAUGGAUAAGAAUUAUGUGAGCAGAUCAGCAUAGAGAGAAGACUGAGACAGAAAAAAGGCUAAAAUGAGUGAUUUUAGACUUCAUGAACUUCAAUCUUCCCAUAACAAGAAAGAGAAGUGCUCAGCCAGUAGAGGCAGCAACAAAGUGAAGGACAAGAAAAGUAGUGGACUGAAAGAUUUAUAUGUGAAUCAACUCUGAUCUUUUAUAUCAAGUGCCAUGAUUCAUUUGUAUCAACUUUGAGAAGCAUGCUAAAACUGAGGUAGCUAGGAGGAAGUCUUCAAGAUUUGGUGCUUUGGAAAAUAUACCAAAGAUUUUGGAUCAAAGGUGAUGGCCAAGAUGGUGGGUAGAGAAUCAUAAUGUAAUUACAUAAUUGAGUGUUGUUAGGCUACCAAAUUCAUGAGGACUAGGCUCCAAAAGUUCAUUUAGAUUUCAUGUUUUUGUGCUCCUUUCUAAUUGUAUAUUGGCCUAAGAUUUGUAUUAACCUUUGUAGUUUAGAUUUACGCCUUUACCACACAUUUUCUAACAAUGGCAUUCACUGUGUUAAAAUGCUA